UCAAUGUUGUCACAAAGGUUUGAUACUUAGCCGCAUUCGAGUAAUCAUAAUAGUCCAUCAGCCUAUCAUAUACUUGGUUGUGGUCGUAUGGAUCUCCCGAACCAUCAUAACUUUCCAUAUAGGGGAGCUUUUUACUGGGGUCCGCCUUCUCCCGAAGGAUUUCCAGAGAGAAAAGGGAUAACUUUUUCCCCGAACUCUCCUUCCC
rnacentral:lncRNA from 1 species